GUCAUGGGGAACCCUACAAUGAUCUACCCUGCCUCCAGAACAAAUGCCAUGCCCCAACAUCUGAAAGUAUACCGGCUGCUCAGGAAUGGUAUCAUUUCUACUACACGGACAUCUCGGUCCUAUUCCCCUCUGCCUGGGAGUGACCUGGUGACCACUUUGUCUUGUCCUGUCACUGUGACAGUGAGGAUGGCUGCGAUGGGGAUUAGCCUAGUCCUCGGGGAUAAAAGGCAAGAUCAUCUCCUUCUUGGAAGGAUUUCAGACCUUGGAGACUGGAAUCAAGGACAUGGUUCACAACUACACGCACCCUUCUAGAAUGCAGUGGCUUCGGUUUCUGACCAGGGACACAGAAUACCAUUGGAAUUUGAGAGGCAUGCCUGGUGGCCUGCUUCAGCAGCUUGUGAUGGAGAUCUGCUCCAGCUAGAGCCCAGCUCUGCAGCCACAAAUGACACCCAGCCUGG